rnacentral:lncRNA from 1 species
CGAUGUGUUCCGAUGAGAUCCUUAGGUUGUCACGAGUGGGUAGGAUUUCGCGGAUCUCAAUUCGGACGUCGUUUGACUAUCGAACGGAUAAUCGCAUAGUGUGCGUUAUCCGGGUUUGAUAGGUUGGGACCGUUGGAUGGUCCCAAAUUUAAUAUAUGUUAAUCUAGGUAUUUCUAGGAUCGUGUAGGAAUUCACGGAUCGUGAAUCGGAGCCCCGGAUGUUCCGAAUAAUAAUUUAAAGUUUAUAUUUUAUAUUAACCGUCAGAUCAUGCGAUCGUG